AAACUAUUUUUAAUAACACGAAGAUCGAAUCUUUUAUAGCAUGUGAAUUUAGUUCAAUUGUCUACAUGCUUAGCCCUAAAUUAAUUUACAUCACAUGCAAUAAAUAAUUCAAAUUAUGCAAUGAGCAAGCACAUGACAUAAAAUAAAAUUCAACAUUCCCUAACAUAUUUAUCUUAUAUAUCACAUAAAAAGAAUUCAUG
rnacentral:lncRNA from 1 species